CCCAGACUCCUACGGGAGGCAGCAGUGGGGAAUAUUGCACAAUGGGGGAAACCCUGAUGCAGCGACGCCGCGUGAGUGAAGAAGUAUUCCGGUAUGUAAAGCUCUAUCAGCAGGGAAGAAAAUGACGGUACCUGACUAAGAAGCCCCGGCUAACUACGUGCCAGCAGCCGCGGUAAUACGUAGGGGGCAAGCGUUAUCCGGAUUUACUGGGUGUAAAGGGAGCGUAGACGGCAUGGCAAGUCAGAUGUGAAAGCCCGGGGCUCAACCCCGGGACUGCAUUUGAAACUGUCAGGCUGGAGUGCAGGAGAGGUAAGUGGAAUUCCUAGUGUAGCGGUGAAAUGCGUAGAUAUUAGGAGGAACACCAGUGGCGAAGGCGGCUUACUGGACUGUAACUGACGUUGAGGCUCGAAAGCGUGGGGAGCAAACAGGAUUAGAUACCCUUGUAUAA
rnacentral:rRNA from 1 species